rnacentral:lncRNA from 1 species
CAGAUACCACGGACAAUUUUGUGACUCCCCUGGGGAUGGUGCUGGCUGUUGGUGGGGGGAUGUGGCCAAGGGGCUGAGGCUCAUUCUGAGAAAGAGGUGGGUGCACUGUAGAGGCUAAGCCUGUCCUUUUAUCCUGCCAGGCUAUGUGGCGAGUUCCCCAGCAAGUCCAUCAUCCACAGGUGAGUGAUUCCCACCUACACCCCCAGAAACCCGAGCAUUGGGAGUGGGAGUGCUGUGCUUUCUUCCCCAGUGCAUGGGGACAAGCAGGAGCUUCACCAGGCAGGAGCUGUGCCAGCUGCAUGGGCACGUCCUGCACCCUGCCUCUCCCCAUCACACCCCGCUGCCCUCACACCCUCUGUCCCCCAGCUCCAAAUUCCCGGAUCCCACACGCCCUCCCCACAGGCACGGCGCUGGCAGUGGCGGCCGUCGGCCUCGUCCUCCUGGCUGCAGGCAGCUGGUUUGUCAUCAGGAAAGGUGCCUGCAGAGGGAGAUGCCCAAGUGGUGCUGCAGACCUUCAGGACAUUUUUUCUCUCCUCUCUCUAGGCCUCUGUGUGGUGCUGGCAGUGCUCAGGACUCUUCUGCUGACCCCAGCCAUUUCUGUAAGUGCCAGUCCCUUCUUCACCCUUCUCCUCUAGGCACUGUGUGAAGUGCUGAUGCCUUUGCCAUGGCAAGCCGUAGUCAUGGGAGCUACUGUGGUGAGGGGUGGGAAACACCUGCCUGCUGUGUGUGGCUGGACACU